rnacentral:lncRNA from 1 species
UUGGCAUCCCUCUAGUGGCUAUAAAUUGGCUAAACACUGAGUGUCUGAGGCAUUUAGAAAUUAUUUCCAAUUUUAUCUCCAUUGCUCUCCUUUCUUUCUCACAACCUAUCUUAGUUUUAGGAUAAGGCUUUGGGAUUUAAGACAAAGCCUUAUCUGGUCCUAACAAGGGUUGCGAGGGUCCUAAAAUAGGAGGAUCAAAAGUUUAGAGAAGAUUUUGAGAGG